UACGUAGGGGGCAAGCGUUGUCCGGAUUUAUUGGGCGUAAAGAGCGUGUAGGCGGCCAGGUAGGUCCGUUGUGAAAACUCGAGGCUCAACCUCGAGACGUCGGCGGAAACCCUCUGGCUAGAGUCCGGAAGAGGAGAGUGGAAUUCCUGGUGUAGCGGUGAAAUGCGCAGAUAUCAGGAAGAACACCCGUGGCGAAGGCGGCUCUCUGGGACGGUACUGACGCUGAGACGCGAAAGCCAGGGGAGCAAACGGG
rnacentral:rRNA from 1 species